rnacentral:tRNA from 1 species
GGCUAUGUAGCUCAGGCGGUUAGAGCACAGUAAUUACACGCUGGUGUCGGUGGUUCGAGUCCACCCAUAGCCACCA